rnacentral:rRNA from 1 species
GCCCAUUGUGCAUCUGGACUCCAGGAUGAGUUUAAGUAUAUCAGUAAGCAGAGAAAAAGAAACUUAUAAGGAUUCCCUUAGAAACAGAGAGAGAACUGGGAAUAUCCCAUCCUUAGUAUAGGGUGGCUCCAUCAUCCAAAUUGUAGACUGGAGAAGCGUCUUCAGCGGCGGACCAAGCUUAAGUCCCCUGGAAGGGAGCGCCAGAGAGGUGAGAGCCCCGUUGUACCUAAACCCUAUCACACCACAAGGUGCUAUCUAGAUUUGGGUUGUUUGGGAAUGCAGUCCAAAUCAAGCAGUGAAUUCCGUCCAAGGUUAAAUACAGGCGAGAGACCAAUAGCAAACAAGUACCACAAGGAAAAUAUAAAAAGGACUUUAAAAAAAGAGCAAAAGAGUGCUUGAAAUUGUCAGGAGAGAAGUUGAUGGAGGCCUACGAUGGACCUAAGUCAGAUGUGGAAUAGUGAUGAGGCGAUCUACCGAUCGACUUGGGGCAUGGACCAGCAUGGAUUGGGGGACGGCCAAUGUCCAGGCUCUCAAUAUGCUUGUGGAAUAACGUCUUCUUGAUUUUUGAAGAUAGCGCGCACCUCUGGCUUGCUUCAGUAUCUACGUACUCCAGAAGCUAGCCUGUGGGCUCUCCAUUUGACCCGUCUUGAUACAUGGAUCAAGGAGCCUGAAAUGUGUGCAAGUCAAUGGGUGAGUAAAACCAUAAGACAUAAGGAAGCUAAUUGGUAGGAUCCCUCUGAUGGGUGCACCACUGACCGACCUUGAUAUUCUGAGAAGUGUUCGAGAGUGAGUAUACCUGUCAGGACCUGAAAAAUGGUGAACUAUGACUGAGCGGCGCUAAACCGGAGGAAACUCUAGUGGAGGCCCGCAGUGAUACUGACGUGCAAAUUAUUCGUCUGACUUGGGUAUAGGGGAGAAAGACUAAUCAAACCGUCUAGUAGCUGGUUCCCUCCAAAGUUUCCCUCAAGAUAGCUAGAGCUCGCAUGCGAGUUCUAUCGUGUAAAGUCAAUGAUUAGAGGUCUUGGGGGCACAACUCCCUCAACCUAUUCUUAAACUUAAAAUAUGUAGGUCGGCAUGGCUGCUUUGUUGAUCCGCUUCAUAGAAUCAAGAGAUCCAAGUGGGCCAUUUUUAGUAAGCAAAACUGGCGAUGCGGGAUGAAUCAAAAGUCGGGUUACGGUGCCAAACUAUGCACUAACCUAGAUCCCACAAAGGGCGUUAGUCGAUUAAUACAGUAGUACGGUGGUCACGGAAGUCAAAAUCCAUUAAGGAGUGUAUAAUGACUUACCUGACAAAUCAACUAGCCUAAAAAAUGGAUGGCACUUAAUCGGGUGACUUACACCCGGCCGUCGAGGCAAGUUCCAGGCCCCGAUGAGUAGGAGUGUGUGGUGGUCGUUGCAAAACCUUGGGCGCAAGCUCGAGCGGAGUAGCCAUCGGUGCAGAUCUUAGUGGUAGCAGCAAAUAUUCAAAUGAGAACUUUGAAGGACGAGGAGGGGAAAGGUUCUAUGUGAAUGGCACUUGCACAUGGGUUAGUCGAUCCAAAAGGUCAGGGGAACCCUGAAAAAUAGCACGUUUCAUGCAUAUUUUGAAAGGGAAUUAGUUUAAAAUUCCUAAAUUCGGAUGUGGUGUUCGAAAACAACGUUAGGAAGUCCAGAGACAUCGGUGGGAGCAUCGGUAAGAGUUAUCUUUUCUGUUUAACAGCCUGCCCACCCUGGAAUCACUCAGCCGGAGAUAGGGUCCCACAGCUGGAAGAGCACCACACGUCACGUGGUGUCCAGUGUGCUCCCCGCGGCCUAUGACAAUCUAGAGGACCGAAUAUCGUCCAUGUCCGAUCAUACUCAUAACCACAUCAGGCCUCUAAGGUGAACAGCCUUUGGUCGAUGGAAUAAUGUAGGCAAAAAAAGUUGGAAAAAUAGAUCCGUAACUUUGGGAAAUGGAUUGGCUCUGAGGGAUGGGCAUGGGGGUCCCAGUCCCUAACUCGUUGGCUAUCGGUGGACUGCUUGAGCUGCUUCUGCAGUGAGAUCAGGUUGCCGCAGGCUAGCCAGAGAACAGACUCGGAAUAGUUCAUUCAGGGAACUUCCCUGCUCAUCGAACAACCAACUCAGAACUAGUACGAACAAGAGGAAUCUGACUGUUUAAUUAAAACAAAGCAUUGCAAUGGUCCCAAUGGAUGUUCACGCAAGGUGAUUUAUUCCUAGUGCUCUGAAUGUCAAAGUAAAGAAAUUCAACCAAGCACGGGUAAACGGCGAGAGUAACUAUGACUCCUUAAGGUAGCCAAAUCCCUCAUUAUCUAAUUAGUGACACAUAUGAAUAGAUUAACGAGAUUCCCACCAUCCCUGUUUACUAUCCUGCAAAACCACAGCCAAGGGAACGGGCUUGGCAGAAUCAACAGGAAAAGAAGACCCUAUUGAGCUUAACUCUAGUCAGACUUUGUAAAAUAACUUAAGAGGUGUAGUAUAAGUGGGAGCAAAAAGGAGAAAGUGAAAUAACACUACUUUUAAUGUUAUUUUACUUAUUUCGUAAAUCAAAAGUGGGGCACUGCCCCUCUUUUUGAACCCAAGGCUCGUACUGCGAACUGAUUCAGGCAGAAGACAUUGUCAGGUAGGAAGUUUGGCUGGGGUGGCACAUCUGUUAAAAGAUAAUACAGGUGAAUGAAGACGAGCUCAACGAGAACAAAAUUCUCUUGUGGAAUAGAAUGGUAAAAGCUCAUUUAAUUCUGAUUUCCAGUACGAAUAUGAACCAUGAAAGCAUGGCCUAACGAUCCUUUAGACCUUUGAAAUUUGAUGCUAGAGGUGUUAGAAAAGCAUGGCCUAAUGAUCCUUUAGUAUUUUCCAAGGAUGUUUUCAUUAAUCAAGAAUGAAAUUUGGGGGCUCGAACAAAAUCAGAUACCAUCCUAGUCUCAACCAUAAACAAUGUUGACCAGGGAGCGGCGGAUUUUGCUUUUAGGACUCCGCUGAUACCUUGUAAGAAAUAAAAGCUCUUGGGUUCCGGGGGAAGUAUGG